rnacentral:rRNA from 1 species
AGGGUUUGAUCCUGGGCUCAGGACGAACGCUGGCGGCGUGCUUAACACAUGCAAGUCGAACGAUGAAGCCCUUCGGGGUGGAUUAGUGGCGAACGGGUGAGUAACACGUGGGCAAUCUGCCCUUCACUCUGGGACAAGCCCUGGAAACGGGGUCUAAUACCGGAUAACACUCUGUCCCGCAUGGGACGGGGUUAAAAGCUCCGGCGGUGAAGGAUGAGCCCGCGGCCUAUCAGCUUGUUGGUGGGGUGAUGGCCUACCAAGGCGACGACGGGUAGCCGGCCUGAGAGGGCGACCGGCCACACUGGGACUGAGACACGGCCCAGACUCCUACGGGAGGCAGCAGUGGGGAAUAUUGCACAAUGGGCGAAAGCCUGAUGCAGCGACGCCGCGUGAGGGAUGACGGCCUUCGGGUUGUAAACCUCUUUCAGCAGGGAAGAAGCGAAAGUGACGGUACCUGCAGAAGAAGCGCCGGCUAACUACGUGCCACAGCCGCGGUAAUACGUAGGGCGCAAGCGUUGUCCGGAAUUAUUGGGCGUAAAGAGCUCGUAGGCGGCUUGUCACGUCGGAUGUGAAAGCCCGGGGCUUUACCCCGGGUCUGCUUUCGAUACGGGGUAGCUAGANUGUGGUAGGGGAGAUCGGAAUUCCUGGUGUAGCGGUGAAUUGCGCAGAUAUCAGGAGGAACACCGGUGGCGAAGGCGGAUCUCUGGGCCAUUACUGACGCUGAGGAGCGAAAGCGUGGGGAGCGAACAGGAUUAGAUACCCUGGUAGUCCACGCCGUAAAAGUUGGGAACUAAGGUGUUGGCGAACCAUUCCACUUCGUCGGUGCCCGGCAGUUAAACGCAUUAAAGUUCCCCAGCCUGGGGAGUACCGGCCGCAAGGCUAAAACUCAAAGGAAUUGACGGGGGCCCCGCACAAGCAGCGGAGCAUGUGGCUUAAUUCGACGCAACGCGAAGAACCUUACCAAGGCUUGACAUAUACCGGAAAGCAUCAGAGAUGGUGCCCCCCUUGUGGUCGGUAUACAGGUGGUGCAUGGCUGUCGUCAGCUCGUGUCGUGAGAUGUUGGGUUAAGUCCCGCAACGAGCGCAACCCUUGUUCUGUGUUGCCAGCAUGCCCUUCGGGGUGAUGGGGACUCACAGGAGACUGCCGGGGUCAACUCGGAGGAAGGUGGGGACGACGUCAAGUCAUCAUGCCCCUUAUGUCUUGGGCUGCACACGUGCUACAAUGGCCGGUACAAUGAGCUGCGAUGCCGCGAGGCGGAGCGAAUCUCAAAAAGCCGGUCUCAGUUCGGAUUGGGGUCUGCAACUCGACCCCAUGAAGUCGGAGUUGCUAGUAAUCGCAGAUCAGCAUUGCUGCGGUGAAUACGUUCCCGGGCCUUGUACACACCGCCCGUCACGUCACGAAAGUCGGUAACACCCGAGGCCGGUGGCCCAACCCCUUGUGGGAGGGAGCCGUCGAAGGUGGGACUGGCGAUUGGGACGAAGUCGUAACAAGGUAACC